UUGCAGACCACCCAUCAACUCUACUCCUUAGUCUACAUCAUGGGGAAGCUUUUGCACAUGUGUGUGAAGAGGCGGCUGCAGGGAUGUUUCUAGUGAAAAACUAAAAGUAAUCUAAACCUACAAGUUCACAAUCAUGGAAUGGGUCAGUGCUGUGUGAAAGGUGUGCUGAUGCUCAAGCAGGACACAGGAGGCAUGAAGCAAGUGGGUAGGGAAAUGAUGUUCUAAAGAGAGUAUAAACGCUGAAGAAGCAAAUAACACAAACAACAGUCUGGUCUAGUUCCACAAGAUAAUGCCUUUCCCUGAUCUGGGGAACAAGGUCCUACCAAAACGGAAGUUCUGAGUGGUAGAGGGUGAAGAGGAUUAGCAAAGUGGAGGCCAAUGUGGAGGUCACACUCCUGACCGGAAG
rnacentral:lncRNA from 1 species